AUGGGGAGAGCACCGUGUUGCCAGAAGCUGGGGCUGAAGCAGGGAAAGUGGACAGAGGAGGAAGACGACAUACUCGCAAGCUACAUCGCCCAGCAUGGCGAGGGGUCAUGGAGGUCGCUGCCCAAGAAUGCCGGGCUACUGAGGUGUGGUAAGAGCUGCAGGCUGCGGUGGGUCAACUACCUGAGGGACGGGGUGAAGAGGGGCAGCUUCUCUAAGGAGGAGGACGAUCUCAUCGUCAAGCUCCAUGCCACCAUUGGCAAAAGGUGGUCACUGAUUGCCAGCCACCUGCCAGGGCGGACCGACAACGAGAUCAAGAACUACUGGAAGUCGCAUCUGAGCCGGCAGUUCCACGGCUUAUGGCGGAUGUACACCGAGAGCAACAUCACCAAAACCGUUGACAUGAACAAGCUUUUCGCCACUCGGAAACGGCGAGGCGGCCGGGCGCCCGGCCAGUCGCCAAGGAGCAACAUGAAGAAGCAGCCUGUGCCUGGGCCCACCAAGGCGCAGGACGGCUCUAGCCCAAUUGGCGCUACAUAA
rnacentral:rRNA from 1 species